rnacentral:rRNA from 1 species
UACAGAGGGUGCGAGCGUUGUCCGGAAUCACUGGGCGUAAAGGGCGCGUAGGCGGCUCGGUCAGCGUGCGGUGAAAGCCCGGGGCUCAACCCCGGGUCGGCCGUGCGAACUGCUGGGCUGGAGCACUGUAGAGGCAGGUGGAAUUCCGGGUGUAGCGGUGGAAUGCGUAGAGAUCCGGAAGAACACCGGUGGCGAAGGCGGUUCUCUGGGCCUGUACUGACGCUGAGGAGCGAAAGCGUGGGGAGCGAACAGG